ACAAGCACAAGAAAACUAAAAACACUACAACAAAAACGGUCUAUAGUGACACUUUUAAAUGUCGGUACAUGUCAAAAAAAGUACUGUUGGCUAAAUUACCGACACUUUUAAAAAAUAUUGCUAUAUGUGGGGUCGCUAGGUAUAUAGUGACAAUUAAAGAGUGUCGCUAUAACCUAAAAAUAGUGCUGCUAAUUUAACAAUAUUUAUUUAAGCAUCUAGCAACCACCGGAACUCUACCUCGUUGGCUGCGGUGGCGGAGGUGGACGAGAGGAAAGGGCCCUUCGUCUAGGAUUUCAGUGGAAUGGGUGAGAGGAGAAGGAGAGAUGGUAAUCGAUCUUUUUUUAUUUUUUCUUUUCUGUUUAUAAUCGGGCCAAAUGGGCUGGGUUGGGUGGGUUGAGUAGAGUAACAUUUUAUUUUUUGUUGGAUUCGGUUUUAUAUUUAGACAUUAAUAGAUGUAUUUUAAAAUUUUGGUAGAAAUGAGACACUUAGGCAAAAGUGUCUCAAACAUGUGUCGCUAUAAUCUAAUUUUGUUGUAGUGAAAUGACAUGCGAAUUAAUUUCUACCGAACAAAAAGCAAUCAAAGAGUGAUUAGGAAAAUGAUUCAGUUU
rnacentral:lncRNA from 1 species